UCUUACGAGUGAGGAAAGAAAGUGGUUUCUUGAGAUGGAAACUACUUUUGGUGACAAGACUGUGAA
rnacentral:pre_miRNA from 1 species